UUAGAUCUAAGAUUUCUCCAUCAUAGCUACAAAACUCACACCCACAUACAUUAACUUUUCGUCUUCUACAAUUAAAUGGAUGCACUGUUUAUCUUAUUCUAUCUCCUCAUCUCCCAGAUUCUCAGACAAUCAAUUAUGGUUGCGUUUAAUAACCUACGCGAAGUUCUCCCCUAUAUAUAUAUUCAUAUGACACACUGAAUCAGUGUAUCUCAUAUCAAGUCAAAGCUUUGUUGAACCAGCGCAGAUGUUAACCAAUCAUCAUCGACAAUGUCCUCCUCUGCUGCUAUUGUUGCUCAAACAGCGUCUCCUCUUCAACCUUCGAUGAUCUCUGCCUUGGUUUGACUUCUCAGGUGGUUGUUGGCCGGAUCCUCCGCUUUUGGGAUUCAAGGAAUAUCAAGAAGAAUUUUGAAUUUGUUGGUAUCACCAUCGUCAUGAAAAGGUGUAAAACCUCGACUGAUGGAGUCUAAGAUCGAGACGCUGACUCUCACUCUGGUGAAUUUGUUUCAUUUGUCAAGAAAACGAGCCGUGACGAUGACUGAACAAGUGAAUCGUUUGGUAUCACCGGAUAGAGGCAGAUCAAAGAAUGCAGCUCUGCCAUCUACAUCUCAAGUGACUUGCAGUAGACUAGAUGUUGAAGGCAUGGACCUACAAAGAACUUCUUCUAGAGAACUAGGAAACUCAUUGCAGGUUGUGAUAGGUAUAUAUGUCAAUUUUCUCUUUACGAAGUAUGAAGGAAGUUGGUAUUUCAUUUGUUUUAA